rnacentral:rRNA from 1 species
GUGGGGAAUCUUAGACAAUGGGGGAACCCUGAUCUAGCCAUGCCGCGUGAUCGAUGAAGGCCUUAGGGUUGUAAAGAUCUUUCAGGUGGGAAGAUAAUGACUGUACCACCAGAAGAAGCCCCGGCUAACUCCGUGCCAGCAGCCGCGGUAAUACGGAGGGGGCUAGCGUUGUUCGGAAUUACUGGGCGUAAAGCGCACGUAGGCGGAUUGGAAAGUUGGGGGUGAAAUCCCGGGGCUCAACCCCGGAACUGCCUUCAAAACUCCCAGUCUUGAGUUCGAGAGAGGUGAGUGGAAUUCCGAGUGUAGAGGUGAAAUUCGUAGAUAUUCGGAGGAACACCAGUGGCGAAGGCGGCUCACUGGCUCGAUACUGACGCUGAGGUGCGAAAGCGUGGGGAGCAAACAGGAUUAGAAACCCGAGUAGUCC